rnacentral:rRNA from 1 species
UACGUAGGGAGCAAGCGUUGUCCGGAAUCAUUGGGCGUAAAGCGCGCGUAGGUGGCCUCAUAAGUCCGCUGUGAAAGUCAAAGGCUCACCCUUUGAAAGCCGGUGGAUACUGUGAGGCUAGAGUACGGAAGAGGCGAGUGGAAUUCCUGGUGUAGCGGUGGAAUGCGCAGAUAUCAGGAGGAACACCAAUAGCGAAGGCAGCUCGCUGGGACGUUACUGACACUGAGGCGCGAAAGCGUGGGGAGCGAACAGG